rnacentral:rRNA from 1 species
GAUGAACGCUAGCUACAGGCUUAACACAUGCAAGUCGAGGGGCAGCAGGGAUUUAGCUUGCUAAAUUCGCUGGCGACCGGCGCACGGGUGCGUAACGCGUAUCCAACUUUCCCGUUACUCUCGGAUAGCCUUCCGAAAGGGAGAUUAAUACGAGAUGGUGUUUUAAUUCCGCAUGUUAUUAAAACUAAAGAUUUAUCGGUAACGGAUAGGGAUGCGUGACAUUAGAUAGUUGGCGGGGUAACGGCCCACCAAGUCUACGAUGUCUAGGGGUUCUGAGAGGAAGGUCCCCCACACUGGAACUGAGACACGGUCCAGACUCCUACGGGAGGCAGCAGUGAGGAAUAUUGGUCAAUGGCCGAGAGGCUGAACCAGCCAAGUAGCGUGAAGGAUGAAGGUUCUAUGGAUUGUAAACUUCUUUUAUACGGGAAUAACAUCACCUACGUGUAGGUGCCUGCAUGUACCGUAUGAAUAAGCAUCGGCUAACUCCGUGCCAGCCGCCGCGGUAACAC